AUUGAACGCUGGCGGCAGGCCUAACACAUGCAAGUCGAACGAGUGGCGGACGGGUGAGUAAUGUAUGGGAAACUGCCCGAUGGAGGGGGAUAACUACUGGAAAGGGUAGCUAAUACCGCAUACCAUCGGAUGUGCCCAGAUGGGAUUAGCUAGUUGGGUGGGUAACGGCUCACCUAGGCGACGAUCCGUAGCUGGUCUGAGAGGAUGACCGGCCACACUGGAACUGAGACACGGCCCAGACUCCUACGGGAGGCAGCAGUGGGGAAUUUUGGACAAUGGGCGCAAGCCUGAUCCAGCCAUGCCGCGUGUAUGAAGAAGGCCUUCGGGUUGUAAAGGACUUUCGGCAGGGAGGCGGUACCCGCAGAAGAAGCACCGGCUAACUCCGUGCCAGCAGCCGCGGUAAUUC
rnacentral:rRNA from 1 species